rnacentral:lncRNA from 1 species
AUCAAGCAAUUAGCAAACACACAUCAAACACUUAAAAUUAUUUCUCUCUGAGGAUAAUAUUCCAAUAAUUAUGGCUUCCAUGGGAUUAAACUAUGCUCAUCUUCACGUGCAGCAAAAUCGCCUAAAAGAGAUAUCAAAGAAAAUAGAGGAGGAAAAAUCUCAAAGUUGUAACAAUGAGAAUGGUAUGGUGAAAAAAUUAGUAGAGUAUGGUAAACGUAGUAACGGUAGGAAAAUUUACCCUGGUGGCUUUGCUUCGUCGUAUUCUAAUGAGAAAUUAGGUGAAAAUAAAAAAUAGUAAUAUUUUGUUGAAUUAGAGUAUGUCAUAUAAUGUACUAGUUUCUCGCGUGUCUUUUAUCUUUACUUUCUAAUUUCUCUCCUCUUCUUUUUUAUUUAAAUAGCUUUUUACUAGCUUGUUAUGAAGUUUCCUGACUGUACGUCAAGAUGUACGUGGUGAAGCAUUCACCUAAUGAACGGCACAAAUAGCCACUAAAAGCAGUGGCUUUUAUUUUAAAAUCACUGUUUUCAAUGUAUUUAAACUUUAGUCACUCCUUUAAUAAACCUAUAUCUGAGUGAACGAAACUACACUUCUAGUAUAACUUAAUCCUACGCUCAGCAGUUACACAAACAGAAGCGAGCAGCAGCAGUUCACAGAAGCGGCGAUCAGCUGAGGCGAACAACCAUUUCUCUUCCGAUUUAAAAAAUUCAGCAGUCUAAUCAGAAAAAAACGACAGAGAUAAACAAUAAGUUCUACUUAAAUGUGUUUCUAUAGAUUUUUUUUCGCUAUAGUUAUUCUUUUUUAGAUCUGUGUUGAUUUGAUUAUAUAGUAGAUAAGAAUUUGUCCUUAACUUUGGAUUUCUGAAUUAAUAAAGUUAAAGACAUCGCCUCCUAUGAUAAUUCUGUAUUCCGGACAUAGUGUCUUCAUUUUGGAAAUUGAAUUCAAAAAUUAAGAAUACAAUAUCCUUAACUUUGAUUCUUAUGGCCUCAUUUUGCAAAAUGAAUUUAAAAACUUAAGAACACAAUGUCCUUAACUUUGUUGCUAUACUUCUGUAUACAAAGUUCUGUAGUUUGAUUUUCAAAUUGUAUAUUUUAUUUCUGGUUCAAACGUUAAGGACUGGCAGUCCUUAACUUUUGAACCACAAAUCAAUACUUAAGGAAUACCAAUCCUUAACUUUUAAACCAGAAAUUAAAAGCUAAGAACAACCUGUAUUUCAACAUUUAAACAUGGAAUUAAAAAGUUAAGGACUUAGUCCAUAAGUUUUAAUUUCUUGUUCAAAAGUUAAGGACUAGUAGUCCUUAACUUUACAUUCAAUGUGUAAAUGUUAUGGACUGAUAGUCGUUAGCUUUUAAUUCCAUGUUUAUAUGUUAAGGACUGGUAGUCCUUAACUUUUAAUUCCAUGUUUAAAUAUUAAGGACGGAUAGUCCUUAGCUUUUAAUUUAUGGUUCAAAAGUCAAGGACUGCAAGUCCUUAAGUUUUAAUUUCUUGUUCAAAAGUUAAAGACUGGAAGUCACUAACUUUUAAUUCCAUGUUUAAAUGUUAAAGACUCCUUAACUUUUAAUUUCAUGUUUAAAUGUUAAGGACUGGCAGUCCUUAGCUUUUAAUUUCUGCAGUCCUUAAGUUACAAUUUCUGCCUCAAAAGUUAAGGACUGUAAAUUUCUUGUUCAAAAGUUAAGGGCUGGAAUUCCUUAACUUUAAAUUCCAUGUUUAAAUAUUUAGUACAAGCAGUCCUUAUCUUGUUCUUGCACUUACACUACACCUGUUCUUAAUUAUGUCCCUCGUUUCCCAUACCGUUGACUUACAGGAUGGAAACAAUAUGCCUAUUAGUUGCUUUUAAUGGUAGAUGGACUGAAGACUAUACAUAUCUUGAUCAUCAAACAAUUCUUUU